GAUGAACGCUGGCGGCGUGCCUAACACAUGCAAGUCGAGCGAAAGCACGAGGAGCUUGGUUCCCCGAUGUUAGCGGCGGACGGGACCGUACCUUGUGGUUAAAAUAACUAUACGAAUGGGAUCCUAUUGGGAAAUAAUAUCUACUACCGGAAAAUUUUUUGCCUCGCUUGGUUCAAACGUUGAAGUAGCUCUUGCUGUCACUUAUAGAUUACUACGCGCUGCAUUCGUUAGUUGGCAAGGUAACGGCUUAUCAAGGCAACGAGGCAUAGCCGACCUGAGAGCGACAAUGCCCAGACGGGAACUGAGGCACGUCCCAGACUCCUACAGGAGGCAGCAGCAGGGAAUCUUCCGCAAGGGGCGAAAGCCGGACAGUGCAACGCCGCGUGAAGGAUGAAGCACUACGGAUCGGAAAACGCUGAUGUUAGUGAAGAAGAUAUGCUUAUGUAACUGGGCAGAUCAUGACGGUACCGAAACAAUAAGCCACGGCUAACUACGUG
rnacentral:rRNA from 1 species